GCACGAUUAUUUUGUAUCGCCUCUGCGAAUCAAUAACAAAUAAAUGGGGUAUAUAUUACGUCCCUAACAACGUUCGCCCCAUUCAUCGUAAUUGUAUUGAUCCUAAAAGACAAAAACAGGUCUUGCAAUCCCCUUCUCCCAAUCUUUUCCCAUCCCUCUUUCUUCCCGUUUCCUCUCUUCUCUCGCAGAUGGAGGACCAUCUCUUUCGGUAACUGCAGCAAACCCUAAGCGCCGAUCCGAACCCACUACAAUCUCGUAGCCUCCAAUCCCUCUCUCUCGAGUUUAUCUCUUUUUGGUGAAUUUUAUGGAUUUUUUGUUUUGUUUUUAGGGUCUCUUCUUGUGAGAGAGAGGGGAAGGAAUAGAUGGAGAGGAAUCGAGGCAACACGGGGAGAAGAGCGGAGCAUUUCUUGGCCUGUGCGAAGCUGAACCCGUGCCGGCUUUCGGUCCCUAAUCCUAGGGCACUACUACAGCCGGGUCACGGGGGACGCACAGAGGGAUCCUGAUGGUUCUGAACCCGGUGUGGGUGAAUUAGAGUUUUCCUUUCAAGAGUUCUUGCAUCUCAGGAAUUUAUAAGUAAUUAAUGAUUUGACGAACCUGGUGUGGGUGAAUUAGAGCUUUCCUUGACAAGAAUUCUUGCAUCUGAGGAACUUGAUGAUUUGACGAGGGACCUCGAAAUAAGUUUCUUUGAUACAUAUAACUUGAAGUCGGCGACCUAUGAUAUGAGAACCCUGUAGCAAACCAAGAGUUCUUGUACCCAAAAACACAUGCACACACGCAAAAGAGUCCCGAGUCCCUGUGGGGAUGGUGUUUUUGUUCCUCUCCUUCCCUCAUCCUUCUCGCGUCCCACUGAUCUCUUCCUCCCAAUCUCCCACCUCUCUCUCUCUCUCUCUCUUCCACCUUCGAUCCACCCGUCAUCUCACCGUCUUGGCUUCCUUCUCGGCCCGGAAUUCCUCUGGUUUAAUGGAAAUCGAUGCUCCAAAGACCCAUCGAUGGAGGCCUCUCGUGACUCUACUACACGCAGGGUAGAUGCACCGAGGCCAAAUUUUGAUGCGCGAGCAGGAAAUUAUGGAACAUAUUGAAGGAAAAUAUGGAAAAUUUGGAGUUGACCAACUAUGGCAUGACAGCAAUCCCAUUUAAAGAUGUGCUCAAAGAGUUUGAGGUAUGGUUGAGUAAUCAUCACUUAUGGAAAAAAGAACAAGGAGGAUCACUUAAUCAUGCGGCAUUUGUAACCUGUGGGGAUUGGGAUUUGAAGAUAAAGAUCCCUGAUCAGUGCAUGGUUUUGAGGAUAAAGAUACCCCCAUGCUUCAUGAAGUGAAUUAAUGUAAAGGACAUUUACCUCAAUUUUUACAAAUGAAAGGUGUACUUUUUGGUAGUCCUUUAUAUGGACGUGGCACUUUUGUUCUUUUCUCAAGGGACAGUGCAAGCAUCAAAAUUCAAAUAUUUUGUGGUUUUGGAAAUGGUUCUUGAGGCAUUGGGUAUUCCUUCAGUUAAUUCUAUAUGUGUGACCCGUAUUGAUGUCUUUGUUCCAUCUUCGUUUGUGUCAGGCAACAGGAAUGGUGACAAUGAUGAAGCAGCUUGAGAUUUGGGAAGUCACCAUCUUGGUAUUGAUGAUACUAAGGAUAUAGCAAGAUUGGUUCAACAUUUGCUCGCUGAUGGUGUUGUCUUUCAGAUUACUGCAAGGAGGAGCACUUCAAAUCCUCAUAUUGGUAAAAUUUCUUUUCACGUUGAAUCAGAUGAUAAUCAAGUCUUUUCAAGUUGAAUCAGAUGAUGAUUAAGUAUGCAUUGGAGAGUUUUGAACUAUAGGGUGGGAUGAUGGAAGUACAAAAGGUUUCGAAAAUGGACUUUGAAGUAAAACAAGUUUGGAAGAUCUGAUUGAAAAUCAGCAGUUUUAGGCCCUCUCUAUUGAACUGCUGUCAAUCUCAUGUGAUCAAAUCAUCACCAAUAAGAUGAGGAACCUGACCCAGCUGCAGUUGCAGCCCCUACUUGCACGUUCACCACUGAGCACGUAGGAAUUUGAUGCUGGUAAGGGAAGAGAGCGAUCUAGGAAAGGACAUCAGUCUUAUAAAUGCCUUGGUGGCUUUGAUACACAUGAUACUGCCUCAAUAUUGUACAGCAAAAAUGAAAGGCUGAGACUCUUUUUACAACUCAUCUUAAAGCAGUUUUUAGAGAAAAACAAUGAAAUGCCAACAGUAUUUUCCUACACGGAACAUCUGAACUACCAUAUGAAUCUGUCUCAGAUUAGCAAUUUCCUUUGGAAGCUUGGGCUUCCAGCAUUGGAAGUUCUAUAAAAUCAGGAGGCCGUCCAAGUGAGCUCAAGCAGUUCACUUUGACUGCCGACUCCUUGUAGAGAGCUCACUGCUUUGCCGCCUCCACAAUCCGAAAGAAAUCUCACCAUCAUUGGGCAUGGCACCAUAUUGAAUGAUCUCUUCUACCACUUUCUGGACUUCCAAAAGUUCUAGCCUUCCUGAGGGAUACUUGAAUUCUGUCUCCCGUGUGGUGGGCCUGUAGGAUGAUGAAGCUUUAGUUGGGAGAGACGGUGAGGAGGGUGCCAUUGCUUUGUGCCUGUAGGAUGGCAAAGCUUUGGCUGGUAGAAAAGUUAAUGAGGAAGUUGCUGCCGCAUGCCUAGUAGACGUUGGAGCUUUUGCUGGGUGAGAAGGUGCCGAGGAUCCCAUUGCCGUGUUGCUAUAAGAUGAUGGAGCUUUGGUUGGGAGACAAGGUAGAGAAGGUAAGCAGGGUGCCGCUGCUGUGGGUCUCUGAGAUGAAGAACAUACAGUUGGGAAAGAAGGUGAGGGUGCUGCUGAAGGGCUUGGGGAAAGCGAUCUCUGCUUGGCCAGGUUCUUCUUUGCUGUCCUGUGCCAGUUCUUCAGGCCAUCAAUGAUGCGGUCUGUGAAGAUUGUUUCUUUCAUCGAAGAGCCCAUCUGACCAGAAGAGAUGCAACCAGUGAACAAGAAGAGCCAUGCAGGAAAGCUUGCGGUUCUGCUUAUGUAUUAGUAUCUCUACCUGGGUGACUAAUGCAUAUAGUGGAAGAGUAACAUAGGCGCAGAAGAACUGAACUAUAAUGCCGAAGCCGAUACUUAAGACGACAUCCUCCACGUUGUUAUGGAAACAGGACCAGAGUCCAAAAUUGUACUGGAUUGCAAGCAAGUUAGAAUGGUUUUGAUACAGUCACAUCCUUAAUGAUGAGUAUUGUACUGCAUUGCGGACUCACCCAUGUCCAUGUGAAGAAUGCAAGCUGCAAGGAGUUCUGCAAUCGGCCAACAAUCCAAGUCAGUAGGGUAACUACAAUGGUGGAAAAGAGCAGUAGCCUAUCUGAGUGCUUUAAACCAAAAAAUAACAAAUUGGCAAGUUCAAAAGUUUUUUGUGCUAAAUAUCUCUAUCAAACUUGAUGUAACUUCUUGUUCUCUUUAAUAUCAUCAGGCUAUGUAUUGGUUGUAACAGGGAAGUAACUUUUGAUCUCUAAAUAUUUUCUU